UACGUAGGGGGGCAAGCGUUGUCCGGAUUUAUUGGGCGUAAAGAGCGUGUAGGCGGCCAGAUAAGUCCGCUGUGAAAUCUCGAGGCUCAACUUCGAGCUGUCGGUGGAAACUAUCUGGCUAGAGUCCGGAAGAGGAGAAUGGAAUUCCUGGUGUAGCGGUGAAAUGCGCAGAUAUCAGGAAGAACACCCGUGGCGAAGGCGGUUCUCUGGGACGGUACUGACGCUGGAGACGCGAAAGCGUGGGGAGCGAACAGG
rnacentral:rRNA from 1 species